GGGGGGAGAAAAGGUGGGGGGAGGGCAGCCAAAAGAGUCCGGGUGGCCGCUGCUUGCUCACUGCUGUGCCUCCGUGGACGUUCGUCUUGUGAGAAUCCCUCCGCUGCCGCCGCUGCUUAUUGGCAUUGGUGGCUUGGGCGGAGGGAUACGUUGCGUGCCGCGUAGUGCUAGUGAAGAACGCGAGGGAGGAGGGGGGGGGUCGUUUGCUUGUUGGUAUUAGCGUGGACUGCUGGACACCAGCUGGUGCCUUCUUCGCUGUGGUUGCUCUUGUGGGCUCAGGCGGGGCGAAGAUUCGUGGCAGCUGCAGAGCAAGGAUUUUUCUCCUUUUACUGAGAACAUAGCCAAUCACAAGGCUGUAAACAUUAAGAAGGACCUGGCAAUGGGAUAAAUGAUCUCCAUAUUUAUUUGAAAUUUGUUGUGGUGUGAGCAGAUCUUUAUUUCUUACUGUUUCUAAGCAUCUCUGGAAUACUUUUGUAAAAUUCCUCCUUGUUCUUCACCAAGUUUCAAUCCAAUUCAGUUCAAUGCUGACUGGAUUUGCUUAUCUGUUUGCAUAAUAUAAAAUCUUUCUAUUUAUGCUUUCUUUGUGUAAUGACAAAACAUUAUUGUGUGAGAACUAAAAGUAUGACUUGUAUGAUUUGCAUCACAGAUCUGCCUAUGGCAGGGAUUCCCACACUGUCCACAACCGUCUUUCAGGUCUGUGGAUUGGUGGUUGUAAGAUGGAAGAAGGCACAGCCAUUGCAUUAAAUAUUCAUGUUGAUUUUUAA